UACGUAGGGACCGAGCGUUAUCCGGAUUCAUUGGGCGUAAAGAGCUCGUAGGCGGCUAUUCAAGUCGAACGUGAAAUCUCGGGGCUCAACUCCGAGCCUGCGUUCGAUACUGGGUAGCUAGAGUCUGGUAGGGGGAUCUGGAAUUCCUGGUGUAGCGGUGGAAUGCGCAGAUAUCAGGAGGAACACCGGUGGCGAAGGCGGGAUCCUGGGCCAGUACUGACGCUGAGGUGCGAAAGCGUGGGGAGCAAACAGG
rnacentral:rRNA from 1 species